UACGUAGGGUGCGAGCGUUGUCCGGAAUUAUUGGGCGUAAAGGGCUCGUAGGCGGUUUGUCGCGUCGGGAGUGAAAACACCGGGCUUAACUCGGUGCUUGCUUUCGAUACGGGCAGACUAGAGGCAUGCAGGGGAGAACGGAAUUCCUGGUGUAGCGGUGAAAUGCGCAGAUAUCAGGAGGAACACCGGUGGCGAAGGCGGUUCUCUGGGCAUGUCCUGACGCUGAGGCACGAAAGCGUGGGUAGCAAACAGG
rnacentral:rRNA from 1 species